UUCUUUGAUGAAUUACUCAUAUGUGAGAACAUUGUAGGCCAUGCACACAUCGAGUGAACAGAUUCAGUUUUCUUUUUUUAUCACUUAGUAGUGCUCAUUGAAUCUUCAGGUAUGAAUAUCGUUGCAAUUAGCAAGCAACCCUGAUGGCAGAAGCUAGCUACAUGCCUAGAUUGAUGCGUUCCGAUCUAUGUCAAUUAUAAGCUCCACAAGAAAAUAGCAAACUUUUGUAUCGACCGGGCGCAUCAGUGACUUGACGGGGAUAGCAAGACACAUAGAAGAAUAUAAAGCAUCAAGGUAGCAACUCGUUGGUUUUUGCUCCCAGCUGAUGCAUACUACUUUGCUUGCAGCCAUCGUCAACCAUUGUUGCUGGUAUCAUCACUUUUUUAGAACCAAAGAAAUAUUGCUUUUCAACUCAGAUGUGUGUUAGGUGAUGUUGCAUGCCAUUUUUGUUCAUCGGCCUGACAUGAUUUGGAUUGGUGCAGAGGUCGGUGUGAAUGAAAAGCUAGCUUCUGAAGACGCAGUCGAUUAUUAUUGCCUAUUUUUCUAUUGAAAGGUGUUGCUUCUUUUAUCUUGACAGUCGACGUCUGCUGGAC